ensembl:miRNA
UAAAGCUUAAAACGGCACUAAGACUUUUG